rnacentral:tRNA from 1 species
GUGGGUACAGCUCAGUGAUAGAGUGUGUGCUUAGCAUGCACAAGGUGCUGGGUUCAAUCCCUAGUACCUCCA